AUCAGCACAUCCUGCUGUUGUAUUUCUGACAAUCAUUUUCCGACCUCCUAAAGACACAACAUCUCCACCAUCUGAACCUUCAGGAUGUCCUUCUUCUUCAGACAUUUGAUUCUGAUGUUUGUGCUUCUGCGUGGACUCUCAGCAGAUAAAGGUGUGUCACUAAACUGCAGCCAAACAGUGGAAGUUACAUAUGGAGAGGAUCUGAAUCUUAGUUGUGACAUUAAAUGGAAACAAGCUGAUUGCCAGUAUGAAAACUAUUCAAUUGAGUGGAUCCACACAACAGAGAACCUCUGUAAGAACAACAGAUGUGAAAAUAACAAAACCUCUGCCUCACUACAAAUGUUUAAUGUCAUCGAGGAGAAGAACAUCAGCGUUAUCAUUACUGCUAAUUGUGGCAUGGAUUCUGUCAGUAUCAGCCUGAAGAUCAAACCUGCUGUAGUUGAAGUUAAAGUUGAAGUUAAGACGACAAUCACAACCCCCAAACCAUACACUGUGGAUCCUGUCCAUCACAAAAAUGCUUCAAAAAAUGUGGCAUCAGUGAGGGGGAAAGUGAUUCCUAUCUCACUCGCUGCUGUCUCUACAGUCAUUAUUGCAGUGGUUGGAGUUGCUUUGUAUCGACAUAGCCGAAAGCAACAUCAGAGAAUCCCGCUGAAGGAACAGGUCUGACAGUUUCCUGACAGCUCUGUGAGGAAAAAAGGGAAAAAAAAGACAUAAAAGAGCUCUGAUGCACGAGUGGGGCUCAAAUGCAUCAUGCAGACAUUUUGGACAAACCCCGGCAGGUCAGGUUGGGUUGUCCCCAAAGUCAGGACAGAUUCCUGCAGGACAUGAGAAGAUGCUGAAGAAACGGCAUCUGGUGGAAGUUUUUUUGGGGAUCCAGGAUUCCUUCUGCAGGUACAGAGAAAAUAUGUGUUUAUGGAUUCAAGAAGAAAAGUGUUUCGGUAAACUUUUUUUUUUAUUAUAUCUUAUGACUUUUUAUAAAAUGAUCACAUCAUUCAGGGUUUUCUUUCAUUCUGAUAAUGAUAAGGUUGGUUCUGUUUUGUAUAGAAUAUUGGUGUCUGUGACACCCUAUAAUAUAUCUAUAGAUUUUAUUCUCAAAAGUCUUUAUCGUGCAUUCUUUACUUGCAGGUCAAGCUCUGUGGGGACAAUAAGUGGGUUGCAGUGCUCUCUAGUGUUUAAUCUAAGUAGCUGCAGGGACUUUUUUACUUUUUUUAUAUUUAAUGAGCAAAUCUAUUUGAGAACGUUGAUUUGAUUCUUCAGAUCAUACAUAUUGAAACAAAAUUAUGUUAUGUUUUUGGAUGUUUUUUGUCUUUAUGUGCACAUCAUGUAAGGUUUUCUGUAUAUCAGCUGCUGGUUUUCUAAUAAAAACAUGAUGUCAGGCCAAUAAAAAGUUGGUGGCUCACAUGAA